rnacentral:rRNA from 1 species
GUGGGGAAUAUUGGGCAAUGGGCGAAAGCCUGACCCAGCAACGCCGCGUGAGGGAAGAAGGCCUUCGGGUUGUAAACCUCUGUCCUUGGUGACGAAAAAAAUGACGGUAGCCAAGGAGGAAGCCCCGGCUAACUACGUGCCAGCAGCCGCGGUAAUACGUAGGGGGCGAGCGUUGUCCGGAAUUACUGGGCGUAAAGGGUGCGUAGGUGGCCUUUUAAGUUGGAUGUGAAAUACCCGGGCUUAACUUGGGGGGUGCAUCUAAUACUGGAGGGCUAGAGUGCAGGAGAGGGAAGCGGAAUUCCUAGUGUAGCGGUGAAAUGCGUAGAUAUUAGGAGGAACACCAGUGGCGAAGGCGGCUUUCUGGACUGUAACUGACACUGAGGCACGAAAGCGUGGGGAGCAAACAGGAUUAGAUACCCUUGUAGUCC